AGGGCAGGGGACCAUCUUCAUCCUUAUCCAACUAGAUGAGAUUUCAUUUGAUGGUUAUAGUUAGAUUAUAUACAUUUUUUUUCUAAGAUCAAAAGCUGCAACUUGCAUCAAAUAAAAGUUCAUCAUUCAGGAAUAAGGAAGAAAAAGAAUUCCACUUAUCGAAUCAGACAUAGAAACAGCGGCGCUGUAGCAAUCUUUCUCAAAGUUUAUCCAUUAUCUGUAUCUAAUUACCGGUAAAACCAUCUAUCUAGGACAGUUGUAAACCAGCUAAUUCAGCCGUUCAAUAGCUUUACGUGGGACUUCAUGUGAGAGUUUUGGCGAUAUAUCGUACGGUCUAACU
rnacentral:misc_RNA from 1 species